rnacentral:rRNA from 1 species
ACUGCGGAGGAUCAUUACCGAGUGAGGGCCCUCUGGGUCCAACCUCCCACCCGUGUUUAUUUUACCUUGUUGCUUCGGCGGGCCCGCCUUAACUGGCCGCCGGGGGGCUUACGCCCCCGGGCCCGCGCCCGCCGAAGACACCCUCGAACUCUGUCUGAAGAUUGUAGUCUGAGUGAAAAUAUAAAUUAUUUAAAACUUUCAACAACGGAUCUCUUGGUUCCGGCAUCGAUGAAGAACGCAGCGAAAUGCGAUACGUAAUGUGAAUUGCAAAUUCAGUGAAUCAUCGAGUCUUUGAACGCACAUUGCGCCCCCUGGUAUUCCGGGGGGCAUGCCUGUCCGAGCGUCAUUUCUGCCCUCAAGCACGGCUUGUGUGUUGGGCCCCGUCCUCCGAUCCCGGGGGACGGGCCCGAAAGGCAGCGGCGGCACCGCGUCCGGUCCUCGAGCGUAUGGGGCUUUGUCACCCGCUCUGUAGGCCCGGCCGGCGCUUGCCGAUCAACCCAAAUUUUUAUCCAGGUUGACCUCGGAUCAGGUAGGGAUACCCGCUGAACUUAAGCAUAUCAAUA